rnacentral:rRNA from 1 species
UACGUAGGGGGCUAGCGUUGUCCGGAAUCAUUGGGCGUAAAGAGCGUGUAGGCGGCUCGGUAAGUCCGCUGUGAAAGUCCAGGGCUCAACCCUGGAAUGCCAGUGGAAACUGUCGAGCUAGAGUCCGGAAGAGGCGAGUGGAAUUCCUGGUGUAGCGGUGAAAUGCGCAGAUAUCAGGAGGAACACCAAUGGCGAAGGCAGCUCGCUGGGACGGUACUGACGCUGAGACGCGAAAGCUAGGGGAGCAAACAGG